AUUGAACGCUGGCGGCAGGCCUAACACAUGCAAGUCGAACGAGUGGCGGACGGGUGAGUAAUGUCUGGGAAACUGCCUGAUGGAGGGGGAAAACUACUGGAAACGGUAGCUAAUCCCGCAUACCAUCGGAUGUGCACAGAUGGGAUUAGCUAGUAGGUGGGGUAAUGGCUCACCUAGGCGACGAUCCCUAGAUGGUCUGAGAGGAUGACCAGCCACACUGGAACGGAGACACGGUCCAGACGCCUACGGGAGGAAGCAGUGGGGAAUAGUGCACAAUGGGCGCAAGCCUGAUGCAGCCAUGCCGCGUGUGUGAAGAAGGCCUUCGGGUUGUAAAGCACUUUCAGCUGGGAGGCGUUACCCGCAGAAGAAGCACCGGCUAACUCCGUGCCAGCCGCCGCGGUAAUAC
rnacentral:rRNA from 1 species